rnacentral:misc_RNA from 1 species
UAUCGAAUCAAUCCAGGGUUGAUGCUGGCAAUAAUUAUUAUUGUAAUGUGCUCACUCUUAAUUUUUUUAAAUACACAUUUGUGCACUCCCAACUCAAUUUUUCGAAGGCAAAUGGGGUUUUUAUGUAUAAUAUAAUGCGCGCGCCCUAUUACCCUUCGAAAAACUUGUAAACCCCUGUUUAUUUGAUGUAAAGAAUGUUUUUACAUAUGCCUUGUAGGCAAUGUUUGAUACAACUUUUAACAACGGAUCUCUUGGCUCUCGCAUCGAUGAAGAACGCAGCGAAAUGCGAUACGUAAUGUGAAUUGCAGAAUUCAGUGAAUCAUCGAAUCUUUGAACGCACCUUGCACUCUCUGGUAUUCCGGAGAGUACGCCUGUUCGAGUGUCAUAAUACUAUCAAGUGCCUAUGGGUUGAUCGCCAUAUGUGUUUGGAUUUGGACUCUGCUGUGUCAAUACGGCUGGUCUUAAAUGUAUCAAGCUUGGUCCUUUAUAAGGGGAAUUUUGGUUCUUACUCGGCGUGAUAAUUAUCUAACGUUGAGGACAGUCCCUGUGACUGGCCAGAGAGAGUCUCUUUUGGAUCGCUUCUAAAAAAAAUUCGUAAUUAUUCUG